rnacentral:lncRNA from 1 species
UUUUUUUUCUUUUGCCUCUAGCCCAGUUUUAGAAAGGACUAUGUCUUGGUCCUUCUUAAUGGUAUAAAAGAUAUCCUCAGCCCGCCAGAUGCUCCUGCAUUUGAGUGACGACACGCUUCUCUGGCUGUGACCAACUUUUCUCCCUUUCUUUUUAAAUGACAGGACUUCUUGUUCAAUACUUGCUGGAUAUGAAGAUCCAACCCAGUGCCUCCCAUUGCAUCCACUCCUCACACCACCGUCUCCAUGGCGUGACAGUUCCUCAGUUUUUCUUUGUUGUUCAUGACCUUCACCUUUUGGAAAGGUACUGGCCAGUCACUUUGCAAAAUGUUCCUCAAUUUGUGUUUGCUUGAUGUUUUCUCCUGAUUAAAGUGAUGCAUUUUGGGCAAGAACAUCAUAAAA